rnacentral:lncRNA from 1 species
CUCAGGGGCAGUGACUACUAAUCAGCCCUAUUUUGUAUUUUAUGUAGAGACAGGGUCUCACUGAGUUGCUUAGCACCUUGCCUUUGCUGAGUGAGGCUGGCUUUGAACUCAGAUAUCCUCCUGCCUCAGCCUCCUGAGCUGCUGGGAUUAUAGAUGUGUGCUACCACACCCAGCAGUAGUUGUAACUUUUGAUCUACUCAGAAAACUAUGGUGAUCAUUUAAGGAAGAGGUAAAUCAUACAUGCAGAUGUGGUUAUAAAAACAGAGAAGUUGGCUAAAUAAAUCUAGGAGACCCAGGUGAAGAAGAAACAUCAGGCUUUGGAAAUAGAGCAGAUGUAAAAGGGAAAAUAGAAAAACAAUUACCAAAGAUACCUCCAAACUUGCAGCCGAGAGACAGUGGGAAGCAGAUGCCCUGGACAGAUAGGAAAAUUAUAGUAAAAAGAUAGGAAAGAAGAAUGUUGCAAACAAAGUCAUUUUAGUUUUCCCCUAAGGCAGGUCUCCCCAGGGGCAUUUGAUGUUUUCAGGUGUCUCAAACUCCUGAAAAGACAAACGGGGACAAAAGCACCCUAAAACACAUGACUGUCAUAUGGUUUGGUUCAGUUCCUGAUAUGUAACUAUUGACUUUUAUUGGAAUCUGUGGGGAAACGGUUGGUUCAUCAUUUCACAAUUUUAUCACUUUUAUUAUUUCAUAACCAUACCUAUCAGCUUCUUGCACAACUUAACCCCAAGACAAGGGGUUCAGGACUUUCUGGGUAAAAAACUUAAUGAUAGGAAUCAAGAUAAGGGAUUGCUGCACAGUAGAAUGGUCCACAUUUUUUUGCUGAAGAUUUUAUUGUUGUUGUUUUUUACUUUUUUAAAAAUUUAAAUUUUCAAAUGAGAAUUCCUGUAUGCCCUUUACCUGCUUC